CACCCGCUGAGCUUAA
rnacentral:rRNA from 23 species